GGAAGUGCGCUGUGUCUUUGAAUACAAGGCGCCAGGAGCUGCUGCAAACUCUCAGAUGAAAGGGAUGCCCGCUUCGGAGCCAGUCCGGUUGGGUCGGAAACGCCCCCUGCCUGCCUGCCCGAACCCGCUGUUCCUCAAGUGGCUCACAGAGCUCCGGGACGAGGCUAAAGAGAAGGGACUGAAGAUCCAGUACACCUACCAGAAGGCCAUCAGCUCUCUGAACAAGUAUCCAUUACCACUGCAAACGGCCAAAGAGGCAAAGAUCCUCCAGAACUUCGGAGACGGUAUCUGUAAACUACUGGACGACAAACUGCAGCGAUACCGUAGAGAGAACGGUCCAGACGCUCCAAUUCACUCUCUUCCGGAAGGAGCGCCCCCUCCUGGCAGACGGGACAACAACAGCCUGGCUCCCUCCAGAAAGAAGAAUGCAGCAGGGGAUCAAGGGAAAGACACAGGAGGACGAGGAGGAGGAGGAGGGAGGAAGAAGAAGAGGGAGUACGUGCCCCAGAAGAGGUCUGGGGGCUAUGCUGUACUGCUCACCCUGUACAGACAGUCGCAGAUUCCAGGUAGUAAAGGUUUCAUGUUUAAGAUGGAGCUUCAAGCAGAAGCUCAGCUCCUCUGCGAUAAGUCUUUCACUGUUCCCGACCUCGGCAGUAAGUACACUGCCUGGUCUUCAGUGAGCACUCUGAUCCAGAAGAACUUGGUGAUGAAGACCCACAACCCUGCGAGGUAUUCUCUGACAGAUGAGGGUCUGGCUUUGGCAGAGCGACUGGAGUCAGCAAACCAAGGGAGUAAAGACGGCCCAGAGGGCGACACAGAGGAGGUCAGAAGUGAAGGAGAGGAGGAUGAGGAGGAAGGUGGUCCUGGGCUCGUGGACCUGACUGCCAGUGAUGAUGAUGAAGACGAAAAGGAAGAAGACAGAAUACACCCUACAGAGAAUCCGCCCUGUGCUGCCCAGCCGAGGACUGAGGUCGAUGGGACGAGUUUUUCAGGAAAAUCCAAGGAUUCACAGGCAACGAGCAGAAAGCCGAAUGCAGGAUGUCUUCUGCCUGGAACCUAUGACAUUAUACUCUGCGUUGACUUCAUUGAGACAACUGGUGGCAGCCAACACCGAAAGCAGGAACUGGUCAAGGAGCUUCAGAGAAACGGAGUGAUCUUUGAUGUUAGGAAGCUAAACAUUGGAGACUUCCUGUGGGUCGCUCGUGAAAAGGUCACACCUGUUCCAGGUCAGCUGCGUGCCCCCGCAGGCCGGGAGCUCGUACUUGAUUACAUCAUUGAGAGGAAGAGGAUGGAUGACCUGUGUGGUAGCAUCAUCGAUGGACGCUUCAGGGAACAGAAGUUUCGACUGAAGCGGUGUGGUCUUCGUCGGCCCUGCUAUCUGGUAGAGGAGUGUGGGACCGCUGCCUCCCACCUGAGUUUACCUGAGACUACGCUGCAGCAGGCCAUAAUCAACACACAGGUAGUUGAUGGCUUCUUUGUGAAGAGAGUCCAGGAUGUGAGGGAGUCAGUGGCCUACCUCACCGUCAUGACGCGAUACCUGACUAAACUGUAUCAGGUGAAACGCACACAGUCCAUUUUCCCCUUUUCUUUUUUAAUAAAAACCCCCUCAUGGGUCCAGAAUCAUAUCAUAUCAUAUCAUAUCAUAUCAUAUCAUAUCAUAUCCAAGCUCAUUGGUUCCUACUGAAGAUGUCAAUCUUUAAAACUGAUCCCAAUAAAUUGAUUUAUUUUUAACCCAUAAACCUUCCUGAGACAGUUCAAAACCGAGAGGAGUCCUGCGGGGCUCAACAGAUGUGUAGUCCGGUGGCUGGUGGCCGCUUGCUCUGCUGCCAUUCAGCGGCUAACGGGUGGAGCUAACUGCUAACACACACCGCUGCAAUUAACAGACUCCACAAGACACGGCUGAUUAUCUACUGCUGAAUUACAGCUCACAACUCGCACAAACGCCUCAUGCUGCUCUGGUGUGAGUGUUUUUGCUGGCUAGCAAAACUUCCUGGUGCAGACUAUUUCCUGUAGUUUACCAGCCUAAAGCUCACAAGGCAUUUGAAGAUAUUUGUAAGCACGACCGUUCUCAGCUUUCAGUGUGCGAUAGUCCAUGACGAACAUCUCGUCACGUCUCGACUCGUCAACGAAAAUGAAACAUACAUCUCGUCUUGGUUUUUAUUAUCAAGAUCUAUUUUUUGUUUCUGUCAUGGAAAAAAAGGGCGUUGAUGAAAAAUUUUUGUCAUUGUUUUCAUCAACGAGAUUUGAUGAACACAAAUUCAGUCAUACAAAAAUAUGAUUUACCUUCGCCCAACACUCACUUUUACUUAGUAGAGCUUGAACGCAUCAUAAGGUAACUGAAUGCAAACUUUGUUAGCUGCUAACUUGUUGAAAGUGAGUUUAAUGCGUCCUUUUGUCUUGGCGGUGUCCCUGGGAAGAUUUCUGUUCGUCCCAAACAUGUUUCCUAUUGUCCCUGGGGUGAUGGGGCACCGAGCCCUGCUUUGAAGCCUGUGUUAAACUGAUGUAACACAACAGGAAAACAUCGGCCGCUGUCCUCGAACUGUACGCUGAUCUGUCGCUCCAGAGAGCUGGAGGGCGAUAGAGGGAGUGAAGAGGAGGAGAGAGCCACCCCCUCGUGCUCUCUCAUUUCUUUUGCAGAGUUCAAUCAUGGUGCACUUAAAAACAAG